rnacentral:rRNA from 1 species
UACAAUGAAGAGUUUGAUCCUGGCUCAGGAUGAACGCUAGCGACAGGCUUAACACAUGCAAGUCGAGGGGCAGCGGGGAGUAGCAAUACUUCGCCGGCGACCGGCGCACGGGUGAGUAACACGUGUGCAACCAACCCCGUACCGGGAGAUAACCCGCGGAAACGUGGACUAACACCCCAUGAUACUUCAAGGCCGCAUGGUCUUGAUUUUAAAAUUUAAUGGUACGGGACGGGCACGCGCGACAUUAGGUAGUUGGCGGGGUAACGGCCCACCAAGCCGACGAUGUCUAGGGGUUCCGAGAGGAAGGUCCCCCACACUGGAACUGAGACACGGU